rnacentral:snoRNA from 1 species
AAUGCUGUGAUGAGAUGAACACCUUUGGUGUUUUGGGCAGUGGGUAAAAGUUGGAUUUUUUAUUCCUUCUCCGUGAGCCCUCUGAUUAAUGAUUUCUCCUUCAACUGAGCAUU